rnacentral:rRNA from 1 species
GGGACACGUGGUAUCCUGUCUGAAUAUGGGGGGACCAUCCUCCAAGGCUAAAUACUCCUGACUGACCGAUAGUGAACCAGUACCGUGAGGGAAAGGCGAAAAGAACCCCGGCGAGGGGAGUGAAAAAGAACCUGAAACCGUGUACGUACAAGCAGUGGGAGCACGCUUAGGCGUGUGACUGCGUACCUUUUGUAUAAUGGGUCAGCGACUUAUAUUCUGUAGCAAGGUUAACCGAAUAGGGGAGCCGAAGGGAAACCGAGUCUUAACUGGGCGUUAAGUUGCAGGGUAUAGACCCGAAACCCGGUGAUCUAGCCAUGGGCAGGUUGAAGGUUGGGUAACACUAACUGGAGGACCGAACCGACUAAUGUUGAAAAAUUAGCGGAUGACUUGUGGCUGGGGGUGAAAGGCCAAUCAAACCGGGAGAUAGCUGGUUCUCCCCGAAAGCUAUUUAGGUAGCGCCUCGUGAAUUCAUCUCCGGGGGUAGAGCACUGUUUCGGCAAGGGGGUCAUCCCGACUUACCAACCCGAUGCA